rnacentral:rRNA from 1 species
GACGAACGCUGGCGGCGUGCCUAAUACAUGCAAGUUGAGCGCGAAAGGUUUGUACUUGUACCGUCUGGAUGAGCAGCUAACGGGUGAGUAACGCGUGGGUAAUGCCUUUGAUCUGGGGACAACAUUUGGAAACGAAUGCUAAUACCGCAUAAAAUCUUUACACACAAGGUUUGAGUUUGAAAGUUGCAAUUUCAUCACUCAAAGAUGAUCCCGCUGUGUAUUAGCUAUGUGGUGAGGUAAAGGCUCACCAAGGCGGUGAUACAUAUCCGACCUGAGAGGGUGAGCGGCCCCCUUGGGAAUGGAACCAGGCCCAAAAUCCCAAGGGAGGCAGCAGGAGGGGAACUUUGGACAUGGACGAAAGUCUGAACGCGCCACGCCGCGUGAGGGAAGAAGGGUGUCGGGUCGUAAAAGUCUGUUUGUAGGGAAGAAAAUUGGUGAGAGUGGAAAGCUCAUCAAGUGACGGUAACUACACAGAAAGGGACGGCUAACUACGUG